GUUUUAUGUUUUUUAUAUAUAUUACAGACUUUGUUAAGUUUUCACAAUGCCCACAAAGCAACACAUUAAUUAAUUAAAAAGAAACUUCUAUAUUUUCACGUCUCUAUAUUACAAAAUUUACAAAUGUCACAACUUUAAUUCAAAGUCAACCAACAUUACAAAUCUGGCGUCUUGUCCCUGUUCACCUUCUUCGGCAAUCUGGGAUACAGAUGAAAAGUUACUGUUGUUACGGACAAGAACAAAAUCCAGGCCAAAACCUAAAAGGCCUAAAACGUUAUUUGCCGUGUUUAACAGUUCUACUGCAGUUUCACCAUUGCCAAAUGUUCCCACAAAUCCUAACGGUACCCGUCACCGACAAAAGUUAGGGGAGGUGGAGCUAGCAAAAAUAGGGGAAUGGCUGGCCACAAACACGACAGUCUUUCCUAAGGUAGGAAGACAUUCUCUGAUUGGGGUUAGAACUGGGUAGGUAGAUAGUGAAGCUAAAAUGAGAAAGAUGGGUCUCACUUGAAAUUUCUGAAACUUCCUGGUUUUGGCACGAACGUUCCAAGCUAAAACCUUGAGAGUAGUAACAAUUAAAGGGUUACGUCAGCCUCAAUGACCACUUGUGCGUUUAGAAAUGGUCAUGGUGAUGGGAAUCUAUAUGUGCAGUAUUUCUGUUUGAAAUGCUUCACAUACAGAGAUAUCUGCACUCAGGACCGGCCUUAGAGUUGUGUGACCUGUGCGGCCUGUAGGGCAUCAUAGCAAGAGGGGCGCCAGGUGACCAGCACAGCUUGCAACAACCAGGGCCUAUGCAACCUCAGAGCUCUCUGGUUUUGGAGAGAAUGUUUAAUGUAAAUUCUGAGAGUAAUAUGUAUAUAUAUUCAUAUUUGUGUAUUAACAAUAUAUGUAUUAUUAUGCCUAUAAUAUUUACACAUAUAUUAAUAUACAUGUGUUUAUGUAUAAUAUGCCCAGAGAUUACAUUAAUACAUAGUAUCUAUGUAAUGAAGGCUUAGCACGUUUUACAUGGUGGAAAGUAUUGUAGCCCCAUGUAGCCAGGCGCAGCUAAGCGGAAAAAGGCCUUGACAGGGGUUAGGAGGCGGGCUUAGGAGGAAGUAAGCAAGGGAGUGGAGUUAUGGGUAAGUAGGUUUGGUUAUUUAAAUGGGCAGCCAUUUUAGGUAAGUCAUUCUAAUUUCCUACCUGGUUAAGUUUGUGUUCGCUCCUGUGGGCACAGAUUUGGCUUGGUAGGGUUUUUUCUUCUUUUGUCUCCCUGCAGGACCGAUGGACGAAGUGGAGCGACUGCUGGAGGAGAUCCGGUCGGCGGCGAG